AUUGAACGCUGGCGGCAGGCUUAACACAUGCAAGUCGAGCGGGGAGAUGUAGCUUGCUACAUUUUCUAGCGGCGGACGGGUGAGUAAUGCUUAGGAAUCUGCCUAUUAGUGGGGGACAACAUCUCGAAAGGGAUGCUAAUACCGCAUACGUCCUACGGGAGAAAGCAGGGGACCUUCGGGCCUUGCGCUAAUAGAUGAGCCUAAGUCGGAUUAGCUAGUUGGUGGGGUAAAGGCCUACCAAGGCGACGAUCUGUAGCGGGUCUGAGAGGAUGAUCCGCCACACUGGGACUGAGACACGGCCCAGACUCCUACGGGAGGCAGCAGUGGGGAAUAUUGGACAAUGGGGGGAACCCUGAUCCAGCCAUGCCGCGUGUGUGAAGAAGGCCCUUUGGUUGUAAAGCACUUUAAGCGAGGAGGAGGCUACUGGUAUUAAUACUACCGGAUAGUGGACGUUACUCGCAGAAUAAGCACCGGCUAACUCUGUGCCAGCAGCCGCGGUAAUACAGAGGGUGCGAGCGUUAAUCGGAUUUACUGGGCGUAAAGCGUGCGUAGGCGGCUUUUUAAGUCGGAUGUGAAAUCCCUGAGCUUAACUUAGGAAAUGCAUUCGAUACUGGGAGGCUAGAGUAUGGGAGAGGAUGGUAGAAUUCCAGGU
rnacentral:rRNA from 1 species